CCAUCCCAGACUGUGCUAUUUUUCCCAAAGUUGAAGUUCUCCUGGAGACAGCCUUGUCUUGACUUAGGCAACCCAAGGAUGUAACAGAGAUAUGAGAAAAAGUGAAACAGCUGAGCUUGUGCCUGAAGGACAGAAGCACACUCACUUUCAGGCCCAUCACUCCAGCCAAUGAAUUGAGACUGAAGGAGAAGCCCCUAUUUGAAUAUGC
rnacentral:lncRNA from 1 species